rnacentral:rRNA from 1 species
AGAGUUUGAUCCUGGCUCAGAACGAACGCUGGCGGCGCGUCUUAAGCAUGCAAGUCGAGCGGCAAGGGGAGCAAUCCCCCUAGAGCGGCGGACUGGUGAGUAACACGUGGGUGAUCUACCUUUUGGUUGGGGAUAGCCAUUAGAAAUAGUGGGUAAUACCGAAUGAGGUGGUGCGGUUGAGGCCGCAUCAAGAAAGGAGCUACGGCUCCGCCAGGAGAUGAGCCCGCGGCCCAUUAGCUAGUUGGGGGUGUAACGGACCACCAAGGCGAUGAUGGGUAGCCGGCCUGAGAGGGUGAACGGCCACACUGGGACUGAGAUACGGCCCACACUCCUACGGGAGGCAGCAGCUAAGAAUAUUCCGCAAUGGACGAAAGUCUGACUGGGCGACACCGCGUGGAUGACGAAGGCCAAAAGGCUGUAAAGUCCUUUUGUCGAUGAACAAUAAGGGUAGGAGGGAAUGCCUGCCUGAUGAUCUUAGUCGGCGAAUAACCUCCGGCUAAUUACGUGCCACCAGCCGCG